rnacentral:ncRNA from 10 species
GUAUAGCAUCAAGAACGCAAUGCGUACCAACCGACACACUCGAUGCACGGUGGUUUAGAAUGUGGAGAUAUUUCUCAAAGAUUCGAGUAAUC